GGAGGCCACAUACACGCGGCCCAGCCCAGCACUCCAUGCUCUCUCCAUCCCCAUACGCAACCUCUCCUCUUCUCGUUUCCCCUCUGCCUCACCGCCGCCACUGCUUCCUCUUCACCCCCUGCAUCCUCUCCCCUCCGUUGGUGCGGCCACACGAAAAACGGCGGCGAUGACGAGGGUCGGUCCUUGGCGCAUACCCACGCCCCCGGUCUGUGGCAGUGACGGAUCUCUUCGUCUCACGGGGCCAGGCCUCCCGUCUGUGCCGCGACGGCGCUGGCAUGGAGACCUGGGCUCAGGCAGCCUCCACAAUUUUGGGUGCGCCGGCGAGGUGUCUUCUGCAGCGGCUGGCGGGUGUGUCAGUUCACUACUCAUCUCGUCCAUCUCCAAGCCUCCAAUAUGGUAAGUCCUCAAUUCCUCUUCCUCAGUUCCUCACAUUGUCAAUCUUUCGUGGUUUGAUUGAGUUUCAAAAAGGAAAAGUCUUGUUUUGAUUGAGGUUCAAAAUGAAGUAGAAAAAGCUUGGUUCAGUUUUGGUUGUCAUGGAUCCUUACCUGUAUUCAUGGGCGGAUCUAACUUAAAUGCAUGUUUCUCUUUUUUUUUACAGUAGCAGGCUAGCAAGAUAUCUUUAUUAGGAUCAGUGCCUAUGGAGUAUGCACUAUGGAUGUUUAAAUUUGAUUGUCGCUGGGUGCUGUAGCAUGUACUGAAGUCUGAACUGUUGUUCUUAUGUGUUUUGGGUAAUUUGGGUGACGAAUUUGAUGCUUAGGUUAAAUGUUUGUGGGUUUCUUGGGGGAAAAUAGUGGUAGUUAAUUUAUUGGCAUCGGUCAGCAGUUAGCACUGCUGGUUUAGGAUCUGCAUCGUUAAGGUCUUUAGCUAAUUGCUCUGCUAUCUGCAAUCUUCAAAAGCAAAAUGAAGCCUGGAGCAUAACAGAGGAAACUAGAUAAAAAAAACAGUACCGCAGGAGCAAAACGGUGCAGCGGAUGAUGCCAACGUGAAUGACGAUUAACUUCUCUGACCUUGUGGUAGGCUGAAUCUGAAUCACAUUAAUGGGUGACCUUUCUCGUAAUCCUUUUUCUGAAAGCAUUAAACAAUGGCUUAGACUGGCAUUUUGGUAGUUGUGUAAGCUGAAACAUGAAGCUAAGCUGAACAAUUUACUGUCCUUUUUUCGCAUGAGAUCACAUUUUGGUAGUUGCAAAGCCUAAACCAUGAUGCUUUUUGCUGCUUCUGUAGUCUCUAAGGAAGUUGUAAGAUUAUAUACUUAAGCUAAGUUUCUUCUGCUUCAAUAAAACACAGGUUGGUAGUUGCAUAACUUGAACUAUGAUGCUUUCUUGAUGCUGUUGUCGUCUCUAAUGGAAUUGCGAGAUAAUUUAGUUAAUCUCAAUGGUCUGCACUCUAAAAAAAUCAUAAGAGCCAUUUAGAAGAAGAUAGGUUACUAUUAUACAUUGGCCAUGUAAUGUACAUAUUAAGGCAACAGACAAAAUUUAAUUGUGAUACUUCAGAUUUGCAGAGUUUUUUGUUGUUGAAAUUUCAUCCAGGUCAUCCUCCUCUCUGGUUUUGCUGAUUCCGACGGCAUCUGCUCGACCUACAGGUCCUUUUCCCUCUCUCUCUCACCAUGAUCUGCACUUCCUGUGAGUUUCCUUUUAUUUCGUCUCUCGUCAUCUCCACAUGAUUCUCGCAUAUUGUUGUAUUGGCUUGAGCUUGUGGUACCUGCAGUUUAUACCGGAACUUAAUCAUCUGGUCAGGAUUCCAUGCCCUUUUUCUUGAGCUGAUUUACUGCUUAAUAUCUGAUGGGUAGUGCAUUCUUUUGGUUGAAAAUUAUAUUGUUUUAUCACCCCAUUGGCAAUUCAGUACCAAUAACAGGAAUUUACUUUGCAGGAUAUCUGUGACAUUUGUUCGCAUUGGGUGUCAAUGCUGGCGAUGAAAAGAUUAUUAAUGCUCUUAUUGGGGUGUCAGUGUUGGAAGCUGCUCAUGAGAAAUAUAACUUGAAGGUCCUCUGCAGUGCUACUUUUUUAUUUACUGAUUUUGGUUUUAGUUAAGAACAAUAGGCAGUGAUUCCAUGCUUGUACUUGACCUCAUGUGCUUCCUUUGACCUGAUAUCUCCUGUUUUAACUGUGAGAGUAAUUAGUCGCAUCAUAUAUCACAAGGAAUUCUACUAACCAUGUAAAAGGCUUAAGGACAAAUUGAGUACAACUCUAUCUGAAUUUUUUUGUACACUGAAGCAGUUUCUAAGGUUUCAUCUUCACCAUCAUCAGUCAUAUCAAAGACAGGUUUCCUGACAACUAGAUACUUUAACUUUUAUAGAUUGUAUCAUGGUCUCAGUGAAAACUUUAAUAAUUAUAUCUUUUAGUCAUGUGUAAUUUUGUCCUUCUUUCAUCUGCUUGGCUGAAAAUCAUUUGUAGUUGUGUAAACUGCUUGAUUUUAUCCCCUUUCUUGCGAAAAAUGGUUUGCUUGCAGAAUAUGCCCAUUAUUAAGAUAAUGUCUUAUGUUGAUAGGUAAGUUCAAAAUUGGGUAGAGAUAUAUCAUUGCUACCUUUCCCUCCUUGUACACCUCCUUUGAUUUUGCAUCCUGUUAAAAUUUUUGGUUAAAUUUUGUAGCAUGUUGACUUAAUACAGUACAAGACAUACUUACCUAAAAUUUGAUACACAUGAGCUAAUUGUGUGACCUUUUCCCUAACAUUUUGACAGAGGAGCUAAUUCUGUAGCGUGAUCUAUGAUUUCUGCUUCAACGCUCAACUUAUCAAGUCAACAAAUGUUCACUUUCAGAUCGGCCGAUGAGGCGGAUGCCUGGAGGCGGUGGACCAUGGAGGAAAGGAGGCCAUCCAUGGUGCGCGCAUCCCCCACACUCGCUCGUCUUUUCCUCCUCGGCUCCGCGGACGCCGGGUGCUCGGGCAUGGCCGCCGCCAUGCCCUGCUCCUGCUGACCUUCAUCAAAAGCGGAUAACUGAGGGCUCUUCUGUUAUCAAGCUGCUUCUUUUUUGUGCCAACAGUUGCAAGUUAACUUAUUAAUAGUUGGAUACGGGCAUAUCUCAGAUUUUGAGAUUGGACAAAAUACUGAAUAAAAUGGUAACUAGAGGAAAACAAUUGCUCCUGAUACAUCAUAUCUGUAUGAUAUUGUUGCUAUAAGUCUCGGGAGGCGCGCACAUCGAGGCCUGCACACUACAGAAACAUUAUAGUCAUUUAGUUUUCUUUCUUUGAAGUGCUAUUUCUCUGUUUCUUUCCUAAUAGUGGAACAAAAUUACCGUUUCUUGGGCGUCAUGUCACAAGGAGGACGUCGGACUGCCCAUUUUAGUGCACCAUGCCACAAGUUCCAGAAUAUUAUUUUGUCUCCUAAUUAAUGAUUUUGCGACUACUUUCAUUUAACAAGGCUUAUGUGUGCAUAAGUUUGUUAGUGAAUCUGGGAGAUGUAGCUAAAUAUAGAAUAAAAUGUGCUUCUUUGCAUUAGGCAGAUGGAACUAUUCAGUUUAUACUUGUUAAUCUUCUGUGUAUUGUGUAUGGUGCAUUCCUUAUUUGGUUUGCACACCACAGAGUAAACUGAAAUAAGGUAACUUGCAUUUUGUCAAGGAGGUUUGGUUCUAUUUUUUUUCUAUGAAAAAAUUGGUUCUCGACUUCUAUGCCAUCUUUCGUUGUUACAGGUAUGAAGCCUUGUUUUACUAUCCUCGGGAUAAACAUGUUUCAGAUACUAAACAAGGGAACAUCCAUGCCCUUUUGUGAUGUUAACCAUGUUAACCAUCUUACGCCAGGGCCGACGAGGAAGAGGACCGGCGGCUAUGUUUUUAAAGCGUCCCUAAGGCGACGCCUAGGCGACGCCUAGGCGUCGAAGCGCUCCCCCUCCGCUUUGGAAAAUCGACCGCUUUGGGCGCCUAGGCGUCCAAAGCGCCCGCCUAGGCGUCGCCUAGGCGCCAAAGCGCCCCCCCUCCCUAAGGCGGUAAGGCGUCGCCUUAAAAACAUAGACCGGCGGAGUGGGGUUCGACAAGGUGGCGGUGGUUACUUUGUAUAUCCUGUUGGUUUGUGGUUAUGUAGUUCCUAUAGCUGUAACUUUUGCGCAUUCAUAAGGCCUUUAUAGAAUGCUAAAAGCUUCAGACCUUUGCAUCAACCAAAGCUUACUCUUAGAUACUUGGUUUAAGUUAAAUUUGCUCCAAGUAAUUAAGGAUAUUAGGCCUCUACAAGAAAAGUAAGAAUCUGAAUCCGUAAGUAAUUAUAACCACUCAAGUGUGAUAUUCUUGUGUUGCUUAAAUUUCCAGUUAAGAUAUCUUUUUGAUAUAGAUUGCCAGGUUCCGUUCUCACAUAAAACUCCCAGUUUUGUGCUCAGCAUGUACCUGUAUAUGAUGUUUCUGCUAGAAGCUCUGCUUACUUUGAUGUCCAUCUCUUUUUCUGAAAAAGUCACUAACAGUUUGUUUGGCUGAAUAUCUUAUGUCAACUGGAUUCCAUCUCUAUUUCUGUAAAUCUCUUUCCUGAAAAGGUCAGUGACAAGGUGGUGUGGAGUGAGGGGAUGUAGAGAUGGAUGAGGACGUUGGCAGGAAGUAGUUGCAGCUCGACGGCCGGAAGCAGCAGCUCGCCCUCUGCUAGGUCUUCACCUCCGCCCUUAGUCUACCUUUAGCAGCGGCCAGUUAUACUCAGCUUCGUUGCUCCCACUCCUGUUCCUCGCUCUUUCUUAUAUAGGUUUCCAUUUAAUGGCAGCUCUCUCUCCCUUUUCCAUCUCUCUGUUUUGUAGAUAGCAGAGCAACCUAUCAUAUAUACACACUGAAAUUGAUCUGUUGUAAGCUUAUUCAGAUUUUAUUAAUUUCUUAUUGAUUCAUUAAGGAAUGGUUGUAAUGAAUAUUUUAUAUGACUACAUCCAAGGGAGCAAGAAAUCGUGAUGUUAUACCA